CCUGUUGGAAGUAACUCAAGUCUUUCCCUUGUGUUGACUGAUCAUCUAAAUAGAGCCCACAAAGUGUCUUGGAUGAUGUUCAAGCUUCUUGGAUCCGGUUCCGAUUGCCAUGAUGAAAUGCAAAUGCUAAAUGACCUAAAAAUGAAUGCAUACAUGAGGUGUAAAGCGUAUGCUUCCAGGAAAAAUGAAGGGUAAAUUUUA
rnacentral:lncRNA from 1 species